CCAGACUACCGGGAUUGCCUCAGUAGCGGCGAGUGAAGCGGCAAAAGCUCCACUUUGAAAGCGCUUCGGCGCGUUGUAGUGUGGUGCAGUCUUUGAACGGCGGAUGACUAAGUCCCUUGGAACAGGGUGCCAUAGAGGGUGAGAGCCCCGUGAGUCGUCUUUUAUAUAAGUUCUUUAAGUCUGUACCAAAGAGUCGAGUUGUUUGGGAAUGCAGCUCUAAGUGGGUGGUAAAUUCCAUCUAAGGCUAAAUACCGGCGAGAGACCGAUAGCGAACAAGUACAGUGAUGGAAAGAUGAAAAGCACUUUGAAAAGAGAGUGAAACAGUACGUGAAAUUGUUGAAAGGGAAGGGUAUUUGGCCCGACAUGGGUCCUGUGCACCGUUGCCUCUUGUAGGCGGCGCUCUGCUGGGGCCUGGGCCAGCAUCAGUUUUCUGGCGGGGAUAAGGUUGCGUGAACCACCUAGUGGGGAUCGUGGCGAUGCCCGCACGGGGGACUGAGGACUGCCGCUGUAGGUGCG
rnacentral:rRNA from 1 species